rnacentral:rRNA from 1 species
GCUUGCUGCUUCGCUGACGAGUGGCGGACGGGUGAGUAAUGUCUGGGGAUCUGCCCGAUGGAGGGGGAUAACCACUGGAAACGGUGGCUAAUACCGCAUAACGUCGCAAGACCAAAGUGGGGGACCUUCGGGCCUCACACCAUCGGAUGAACCCAGAUGGGAUUAGCUAGUAGGUGGGGUAACGGCUCACCUAGGCGACGAUCCCUAGCUGGUCUGAGAGGAUGACCAGCCACACUGGAACUGAGACACGGUCCAGACUCCUACGGGAGGCAGCAGUGGGGAAUAUUGCACAAUGGGCGCAAGCCUGAUGCAGCCAUGCCGCGUGUAUGAAGAAGGCCUUCGGGUUGUAAAGUACUUUCAGCGGGGAGGAAGGGAUGGCGCUUAAUACGCGCCGUCAUUGACGUUACCCGCAGAAGAAGCACCGGCUAACUCCGUGCCAGCAGCCGCGGUAAUACGGAGGGUGCAAGCGUUAAUCGGAAUUACUGGGCGUAAAGCGCACGCAGGCGGUCUGUUAAGUCAGAUGUGAAAUCCCCGGGCUUAACCUGGGAA